AUGCUGUCUCCAGGUUUCCUGUUUACAGCUGCAGGAUACAAAGCCACCAUCCACUUCAAAGCCAGCACAGACAUUGAUUAUGACAUGCAUUGGUACCAACAGAAGCCAGGAGAAACUGCCAACCUCAUCAUUACAUGUACUACUACUGUUGUUUCUAGAGACCCAUGCUGGUCCAGUGGUGAUGGGUAUGGGACAGAGUUUACCCUGACAAUGAAUGCCAUAAAAUCUGAAGAUGCUGUAUAUGAUUUCUGUCAGCAGAAUGAUACUUCACCUUACACAGUGAUGCACUCUGCUCCAAAACACCUGACGAAUGCUCUCAAUGAGACUGCCUCAGCUGCUCCUGAAGAUAUUUAA